rnacentral:lncRNA from 1 species
GAGAUCCUGCUUGCUUUUAUGUUGGUGUAAUCUUUAUUUUAAAUGGACUAAUGAUGGGAUUGUUCUUCAUGUAUGGAGCAUACCUGAGUGGGACUCAACUGGGAGGUCUUAUUACAGUACUGUGCUUCUUUUUCAACCAUGGAGAGGACCUCAAGCAAUGAUAGAAGGCCCUUCAUUGCACUCUGUCUUUCCAAUGUUGCUUUUAUGCUUCCCUGGCAAUUUGCUCAGUUUAUACUUUUUACACAG